rnacentral:rRNA from 1 species
GACGAACGCUGGCGGCGUGCUUAACACAUGCAAGUCGAACGGUAAGGCUCCAGCUUGCUGGGGUACACGAGUGGCGAACGGGUGAGUAACACGUGGGUGACCUGCCCUGCACUUCGGGAUAAGCCUGGGAAACUGGGUCUAAUACCGGGUAGGACCGCACCGUGAGGGUGUGGUGGAAAGUUUUUUCGGUGUGGGAUGGGCCCGCGGCCUAUCAGCUUGUUGGUGGGGUAAUGGCCUACCAAGGCGGCGACGGGUAGCCGGCCUGAGAGGGUGGACGGCCACAUUGGGACUGAGACACGGCCCAGACUCCUACGGGAGGCAGCAGUGGGGAAUAUUGCACAAUGGGCGGAAGCCUGAUGCAGCGACGCCGCGUGGGGGAUGACGGCCUUCGGGUUGUAAACUCCUUUCACCAUCGACGAAGGGUUUCUGACGGUAGAUGGAGAAGAAGCACCGGCUAACUACGUGCCAGCAGCCGCGGUAAUACGUAGGGUGCGAGCGUUGUCCGGAAUUACUGGGCGUNAAGAGCUCGUAGUGGUUUGUCGCGUCGUCUGUGAAAUUCCGGGGCUUAACUCCGGGCGUGCAGGCGAUACGGGCAUAACUUGAGUACUGUAGGGGAGACUGGAAUUCCUGGUGUAGCGGUGAAAUGCGCAGAUAUCAGGAGGAACACCGGUGGCGAAGGCGGGUCUCUGGGCAGUAACUGACGCUGAGGAGCGAAAGCAUGGGGAGCGAACAGGAUUAGAUACCCUGGUAGUCCAUGCCGUAAACGGUGGGCGCUAGGUGUGGGUUUCCUUCCACGGGAUCCGUGCCGUAGCUAACGCAUUAAGCGCCCCGCCUGGGGAGUACGGCCGCAAGGCUAAAACUCAAAGGAAUUGACGGGGGCCCGCACAAGCGGCGGAGCAUGUGGAUUAAUUCGAUGCAACGCGAAGAACCUUACCUGGGCUUGACAUAUACAGGAUCGCGCCAGAGAUGGUGUUUCCCUUGUGGCUUGUAUACAGGUGGUGCAUGGUUGUCGUCAGCUCGUGUCGUGAGAUGUUGGGUUAAGUCCCGCAACGAGCGCAACCCUUGUCUUAUGUUGCCAGCACGUUGUGGUGGGGACUCGUAAGAAACUGCCGGGGUUAACUCGGAGGAAGGUGGGGAUGACGUCAAAUCAUCAUGCCCCUUAUGUCCAGGGCUCCACACAUGCUACAAUGGUCGGUACAGUGGGUUGCCAGUCCGUGAGGGCGAGCUAAUCCCGCAAAGCCGGUCUCAGUUCGGAUCGGGGUCUGCAACUCGACCCCAUGAAGUCGGAGUCGCUAGUAAUCGCAGAUCAGCAAUGCUGCGGUGAAUACGUUCCCGGGCCU